rnacentral:lncRNA from 1 species
GUAAUAAUAAUAGUAAAAGAACUGGGGAGCGCACUGCGAACACGGUGCAGUCCACCCCGGCGCAGUCGGUGCGACUGUCUCUUUAAGGCUCCCCGGCCCAACCCAGUCUCGCCUCCCGCGGGGCGUGCCGCCCGGCCGGCGGCGCGUGCGUGCUGGCAGCCGUCGGCCGGCGGGGCCUCCCAGCCCAGCGGUCGCGGCGGCGCGACGCCGGCGCUUGUUGCGUGCGCGCCUGGCCCCGCCCCCUGCCCGCCCCUUCCCCUCCCCCUCCGCGGGCCUACCCCGCCCGCGCGGUACAGCUGGCCCAGUGACGCGGGCGCAGCCGCCGCCGCCGCUACGACCGCCGCGUUCUAUUCUCCUCAGCCGGCGACAGCCUUGCCUCCUGUCUCCCGCCUCGUCCUCCUCCUCCUCCCGCCGCGCCAGCCAGACCGGCACGCUGGGCCUCGCUUAGAACCCGGAGGGCUGCGGGCGCGCGCAGGCGGCGGAGCAGAUCCCGGCGCCGCGGAGGCUGCGAGCGCCCCCCUCCCGGAGGUCGCCGCGCUGUUCCCCGGGGGAACAUUCAUCUGUUUUAAAACGCAGACAGAAAACAAGAAGUUCUCUCAAACAGUGAGUUUUGGAAAUGAGAACUGCGUUUGUCUUUUAGGAGGACAAAUUCUAAAGGGUCAUUGUUUGGGUAGAAUAGAAGGACGUCUGGCUGUAGUGCUUCCCCCACCAUGCCCCCAAUGCACACGAUACACACACACACACACACACACACACACACACACGCACGCACACACACACCUCCACCCAGAGGUUCCUUAUGGCAGAUGUGAAGGAGUUUAGGACACAAGAUGCCCAUUAUGGCCCCUUAGUUGAUUUUCACCCCCUGAGUCAGUCAGUUUUUCUAGCAGGUCGCUUUUCUUGCCCUGAAUGUCCACGUCUAGGGUCCUGGACUGGUGUUGGCCCUGAAGGCCAGGAUGCUUCAGGCCUUGAAGCUGAGGUUCACCAGGCAUCUAGGUGAGGUUAGUAAAUGGGCUUAACCCUAGUGCCCUUUAGCUUCUUUCUGCACAAUUUUAACCAGCUAGCUGGUUGUUGACAUGCAUUUUGUUUUGUUAUGAGAACAGGAAUUCUGUUUUGCAGUUGAAUAACUGUGCCUUCUAUUUAGAUUCUAUAGAGGGUUACACUCAAAAAGCUAAUGAGUACUUUCUUCCACUCUGCACACACUCUGAUCCAGAGUGGGUGGCAGGCUGGAGGCUGGGGGAAUCUUCAUAGACCAAGUGCUUUUGAAGGCGGAAUAUCGAAUGACAGUAAGGGUAGCUGUGCCCUGAAACUCCAGUGGCUUGGCCUCCUGGCUGAUGGCCCAUCCUCCAAGGGUAGGCCCACAGGGAGGCCUUCAACUUCCCUGAAAUGACGGCUUCUCACUGCUAGGUUAGUGUGAGCAGCCAGAGGAGGGGGUGGGCUUCCUGGGAAGAGGGUUGAGAGGCUUAGUUAAGCCUGCCUAGUUUGGCAGCAGCGCAGACUUGCCUCCUGUUUCUGUGUUGGCUGAUAAUUCCCUUCAGCUCUCAAAACAGACCUUUUUCAUUUCCAUGGGGGAUACAUCUUUGCUAAAAAACACCCCCCCAAAAACUACAACCUACUUUGAAUAUUGCUGUGUGUGCUUUCCCCCUCGGUUCCGAAAGAGGCAGGUAGCCACUCCUGUGUUUUCAUGAGCUGCUCCUGCCACAUUGGAGUUCCUGGAGACUAAUGCUGCUAGACUUCCUAAUCUGGUGGAGGGCUGGACAUGAGCCAUUCUUUGGGUGCUCAGCUUGGACAGAACAUAGUGGAGAACAGUGCUGGGGCUGGC